rnacentral:sRNA from 1 species
CCUUUGGACUGUCACAUCAAAUGAGAGUAGCUUUUAGCAAAAUCAGGCAGGAUGAACAAGGAA